UGAUGACGCAACAGAAGAACCCACUUCAACAUGACAUAUGACGUCACAAAGGAUCAAGCGAACCAUGGCGUAAAGCAAGAAAGAAGAAAAGUCAGCGAAUAAAGCUGCCGAAGAAAAGCGCAAGGUGAAGAACAAAGACGAAGACGCCAAUAAAAGAUACACGGUUUGAGGUUUGAGUAUUAUAUAGGAGUUGUGUGUUAAUUGUAUGUGUAUCUUGUCUGUGCUGCUGUAUUUUCAUUCUGCUGGGCCUAAUGUUGCCAGCUAUUUUUAGUCAGUCACUACUUUAGUGCAUUUUGCAUAUCUAUGAA